rnacentral:rRNA from 1 species
UACGUAGGUGGCAAGCGUUGUUCGGAUUUACUGGGCGUAAAGAGCGCGCAGGCGGUCGAUCAAGUCGCGUGUGAAAGCCCCCGGCUCAACUGGGGAGGGUCACGCGAUACUGAUCGACUCGAAGGCAGGAGAGGGUAGUGGAAUUCCCGGUGUAGUGGUGAAAUGCGUAGAUAUCGGGAGGAACACCAGUGGCGAAGGCGACUACCUGGCCUGUUCUUGACGCUGAGGCGCGAAAGCUAGGGGAGCAAACGGG